UACCCCUCUCCCAUAAAGUGUAUAAUAUUUAUUUCUUUAUUUCUUUAGUCACCUGUUAAUACAAGAAUUAAAACGAACAUCCGAUAACCAUUUUAAAAUAAGAUCAAAAGCUCGAUUCAACGUCGAGUAAUCAUUUUCAAAACUUAACAGAACCAGCACGCAUUCAUCCAUCCUUUUGUAAGUCGAUUGCCUCAGGCAUCGCCAUCUACCUGUAAGUCGAUUGCCUCCGGCAUCGCCAUC
rnacentral:lncRNA from 1 species